UCGGAUCAGGUAGGAAUCCGUGCUGAACUUAAGCAUAUCAAUAAGCCGGAGGAAA
rnacentral:rRNA from 1 species